CCCCCGAGCUGAUCAGUAGUGCGACUGCUCCUGUGAGUAGCCGCUGCACUCCAGCUUGGGCAGCAUAGCGCGACCCCACUUCUAAAAAAAUAGAGAAAAUGAAACCGGAGGUUUUUGAGGUAUUCCUGAGUUUACUGCCACCAGGGACCCUGAGGCCAUGAGAGAUCCUGGGGGCCCAAAACAGAAAAUCCCUGAGAUAUGCUGAUGGCCUGGUCCUGGUGACCUUAGACAGGGGCCAUUCUAUGAGGGCUGAGGCUGUAUAUCCCCCAUCUCUGAGUCCAGAGUGGGGCCACCUGGGAGGUCCAGAAAUAUGGUGGGACUUGCCUGAGGUAGGAGGUGACCUGUGCUGUGUUGUUUCACUGCCCCAUUUCCAAUUUAUGGUCCUAAUGUGACCCUCAAGCCCUGGGUCUACAUAUAUGACCAACCAAUCCCAUUCCCUUCUUCAGGGCCACGUCUGCUCCAAAAGCACAGUCCUGUCCCCACAUCCACAUGCAGCCCAGCAUCCACUCUCCAAUCCAACUUCAUCACCCUCUCUACUAUAGCCCAGCCUCGACUCCUUCCCCCUUCCCAAACCUGGCAAGGACUCUGUUCUUCAUCCUAACCACAUCAUGACCUUACCCACAUCCAUCCCUGUCCCCAACCCAUUUUCCAUCCCAUCCCACCCCAUCCCAACACCAAUUCUAAUCCAAACCUCACCUCAUCUUCAUCCCCAUCCUGAAACGCAACUGUUUUUGUUUUUUAAAAUCCCCUCCAUCCCCUUCCAUCCCUUCCCCUUUCAAUCAAACCCUCAAAGAGACACACAGAGAAGAGAACUGUGAAUUGUCUGCUCAUUAGUUUUUAUGAGAGGAAACCAGAGAAUUUAAAAAAAAUAUUUUUGAGACAGG
rnacentral:lncRNA from 10 species